GGCAGAUAAGGAUCUUGUUGAUGUUGGUAGUUGAACCUGUAUUUGGUUUAUAGAUUAAGCCUGAAAUGUAAAUAUGGAGUUACCUCAUGGUUGCAUUUGGUUCUUCUAAAAGGUGAGCAUCUAAUCGCAUUUUAUGUUUCUGUUGAACAACAUGACCUGUCUUUUAGAUGAUAAUAUUAUUCUCUUUGGAGCAUUGCAUGAUCAUCAACUUUGAUAGGCAACUUGUAGAAUACCCAUCUAAUAAAUCUCUUCAUGUAAAUGAGUGGGGAUUUUGAUGGUUUUCUUCCCGUUAAUUUUUUUUUUUUUU
rnacentral:misc_RNA from 1 species